CACGCGCCACUGUUCACGGCCAAGAGGAGAAAAAUCCAACCCCAUUUCUAGCCUUCCCAAAAAUAAUUCCUUGGUGUUAACCCACUAUUUGGAGGUCCCUAAGUAGCGUGGAAGCAUUAUUGGAGCGAUCAAACCAUCCAUUUUUGUAAAUCGCAAACCCUAACUUUCUUGUGGAGUAGAGAACAAAGACCUUGGGGAGCCCGAGGCGUAGAUUGGGAUUUACUUUAGAUUGGUUAUCUUGGAGUGCGUACGAGGUAUGUAAAGCUCCAACCUUCCUUCUUUUGGCAUGCCUUAGUUUUGGAUAGGCUAGAUUACGAGCCUUUAGGGAAAUCCUAUGAUUCUAAAUCCGAGCAUGUUAUGAUCCGUAUAUGUUCCUUGGCACUCUUAUGUAUAAUUUGAUGAAAUAUGAACCUUUAUGUAUUUGAAAUAAUCGCUUUCCGAACUUUGCACAAAAAGGUUUUCACUUUAAAGAAUUUCGUAAUUUUUGAAUGCCAUAUAUUUCACAUAAAGGCUCGGAUUGUUUUGAUAUUUUCGUAUGAGUUUGCAUGGCCUAUAAUGAGUAUGUUUUCCAUAAGUGGGCCCGACUCGGGAAAAUACCCGUCCGUGGGUCCCGCGACUUUCCUUUAUGUAAUUCGGACGACUUUUGAAAGAAUUUGGUAUGAUUAUCAUUUCAAAUUUCAAGUAUGGUCAUUUACUUAUAUUUGAGUCUAUGAUAAUGAUUUUAUGCAUAUGGUUACUCAUGACUCUGCUCGUGCGUUUUGUUAUAUCUUUCGCCGGUUCCCGGGCCGGUUCUGUUAUCGUGCGCAUUUUGAUAUACUCCGGAGUUAUGCUGUGUUAUGGUUCUCCGAGCUACUCGCUAAUGAGGGUCGGGUUCCACAUAUAUUUGGUGUUAUGCUGUGUAUGGCGGUAUGUUGUGAUGUGAUAUGUGACGGGGAUACGGAGAUUUGAAACUUUCUGGUGUUAUGCUGUGUUAUGGCGCCAUCGACGGGUGGGCGACCAUAUUCUUCUGUACCCUAUGCAUUACUUACAUAUUUUUGAAAGUAAGCAAAUUUUGAUAUGUUGGAUUUGCACUUAUGUUUGGUACUUCCAUUUCGCUUAUGUCUCAGAUUUGCUUUCUGUAUAUUCUGCUUUGCAUACUCAGUACAUAUUUCGUACUGACCCCCUUUCUUCGGGGGGCUGCGUUUCAUGCCCGCAGGUACAGACGCACAGUUUGGUGAUCUACCCAUUUAGGACAUCCUCUUCUGCUGUUUGGAGUGCUCUUCUCAUUUCAGAGCACACAUUUUGGUAUACAUUUGUUCGCUAUGUAUAUAUGUAUUUGUUCAGGGGCACGGCGGGGCCCUGUCCCGCCAUAUGAUUCUGUCGGUCUGUUUAGAGGUCUGUGGACGUGUUUGUGGGUUAGGGUCUUUCUGUAUGGAUGUAUGUACAUGUCGUUUGGGCGAUCCCAUACGCCGAGGCGGCCGGUCCGCAUAUGUUGUUUGGGCGAUCCUAUACGCCGAGGCGGCCGGUCCGCAUAUGUUUAUGUAUUGCUUGGUUAGCCCUGUGUGGCUUUUGUUGGUAUUUUCUGCGUGCAGGGUAUAUUGGAUAGUCCGUAAAACAAAGGAAACUCUGCCGAAAUUUUUCUGGAAAUUACCUAAAUCUGAAAUAAAGCCUUGUCGGCUUCCGCCAUAUACUAGAAUGAGUUGAUAGAAUUUGAGAUAAUAUUUGAUAGAUGGGUUCGGGUGCCCAGAUCGGGCACUAGUCACGGCCUACGGGGUUGGGUCGUGACAGAAGUGGUAUCAGAGCAGUUUGUCCUUGGGAUGUCUACAGACCGUGUCUCGUAGAGUCUUGUUUAUCGGUGUGUUGUGCACCACAUCUAUAAACAGGAGGCUACAGGACAUUUAGGGUGUUUCCUUUCUUUGAAUCUUAGAUCGUGCGAUAGAGCCAGCCGUAGGAAAUGAAUCUCUUUUUCUACUAACCUUUAAUUUCAGCUGGAGGACGGUAUCGACGUAAGAAAGUGACCGAUGAUGUUGGAAGCUAUACCGUACACAGGUAAGAGAUGGUAUGAAAGAUGUAUAUCGGGAAAACUAUUUGAAGUAUGAUGGAAAUAUAAAGUUGAAGAUUGAAAAGAAAAAUAAACAGGAAGAUGUCACCGGUGCCGUUUGAGUUGGGCAUGUGAGGUAAGCCUCGACAUCUGUAUACUUUUAUUUGCAAAUCUUAGCCCCGUGUGGCUAUGAGACGACAUGAUGUGAUAUAUGUAUACGUAUAUGUGUUGGCCCUAUGAGGCCUGGUUGGUAUUUCCUGUGUACCGGUUUUGGAAUAGUAAGAAAUACAGAGGAACCUCUGCCCAAAUUUUGCCAGAAAUAUAAAGAGAGAAAAUGAGAUAUAAGUUCUUACCAUGUUUUGAAAGUCGAUACCGAUAGGGUAAAUCCAUUAUGUGGGAUUAAAGUUUAAGAGAUGCCCUCCAUGGCAUUCGUAAGAAGCAUUAUCCUUGAUUGGGAAAUUUUAUUCCGAUAAAGUAUAUAUGAGUAGCAAAUUCGUAAUUUGUUUAAAUGGAUCAGAAUAUGUUCCAACCACAUUUUUGCUUCAGAAAAGCCUAUGUUGAAGGGCAAAAAUGUCCAACGAUUAAGUUUCGAUUCAUUUGAAGAAUACUAAAUGUAUAACAGGCAGUUGGGAAUUGAAUGGUUCGCUUACGACUCAAAAGAAAUAUAUAUAUAUAUAUGUAUAAAUAUGGAGGUAAUUAUGUGAAUUAAGUACCAAAGGAUUUCGCGAUGUUCGUCGGAUUUUAAUGUUCUUUUGCUGGUGGUUGGAGAAUGCCUUACAGUAAUAUUUUAUCAGUCUUCAUUGACUAAUUGGAGAUAGGAAUUGUGGAUGAAAACUUAAAUUUGUGGGCUGUUUAAAAUUAUAUAUGUAUAUGCAUGAGGAGAAAAAUAUUGAGGAUUUAUAAGGGGCGACACGGUGACUAUAUAGUCAGAAAAGUAAAAGAAUUCUCUCUAGAUCGGGGUGAGACCCGCUACGAGAACGUUUUGAAAAUAUGUAAGACCCCGAUUUGCCUUAAAUUACGUGAUAAAGGUCGCGUGGGCUGAGACGGAUUAGAUUAGUGAAAAAGAACAAAGAGCAACGCUGCUCCAGAAUUGGAAUGAGUUUGAACAGAUGAUUGAAGACGCUUUGUAAAAGAAAUGACCUAGGAAGCUGAGGAGCAGAUGAAGAAAAAGUAUCCUCACCUAUUUCCGGUACCUACAGAUAAUCCAAAUCCUUUGUUUGACUAUGUUGAUUUGUGAAAGACGUGUAUGUGUGGCUAUAAAAGAAACUCCCCCGAAUUGUUAGUGAGACCCGUGGAAUUAAUCUAACAUUCGAGGACGAAUGUUCUUAAGGGGGGGAGGAUGUUAUAUCCCGUAAUUUUAUACGUCGAGUUAUUCGCAAAAGAAUCGACUCAAGUUAAAGACGGGAUCAUUUUCGGACACGAAGUAGAAAUCUUUAAUUUCCGAUUUCUAUUAGAACAAGAAUUGCUUAUAAAUUUUACUUAGUGUAUAAAUAUUAAUGGAGAUUAGGGAUUAAUUAACCAUGAUUAGAUUAUUAAGUGGGGAUUAAAAAAAUUAAUUAUUCACUAAUUAGGCACUAGUGGUCGUGUGGGCCCCAUCAAGACAUGUGGCCAAAUUUUAUUGGCUCAAGCCAUGAGUGGGACAUGUGUCCAAUUAGUAGGCAUGAUAUUUAAGUCAAAUUGAUGACUAAGGAACUCAUUUAUCAUCUUUCAAACUUGAGAAACUUAGAGAUAGAGAGAGGAGCUCUCAAGCUUAGAGAGAGAGAAGUUCCCGGCGGCACUAUUCACGGCGGCGCCACUGUUCACGGCGCCGCCACUGUUCACGCGCACUGUUCAUGCCGCUACUAUUCACGCCGGCACUGUUCACGCGCCACUGUUCACGGCCAAGAGGAGAAAAAUCCAACCCCAUUUCUAGCCUUCCCAAAAAUAAUUCCUUGGUGUUAACCCACUAUUUGGAGGUCCCUAAGUAGCGUGGAAGCAUUAUUGGAGCGAUCAAACCAUCCAUUUUUGUAAAUCGCAAACCCUAACUUUCUUGUGGAGUAGAGAACAAAGACCUUGGGGAGCCCGAGGCGUAGAUUGGGAUUUACUUUAGAUUGGUUAUCUUGGAGUGCGUACGAGGUAUGUAAAGCUCCAACCUUCCUUCUUUUGGCAUGCCUUAGUUUUGGAUAGGCUAGAUUACGAGCCUUUAGGGAAAUCCUAUGAUUCUAAAUCCGAGCAUGUUAUGAUCCGUAUAUGUUCCUUGGCACUCUUAUGUAUAAUUUGAUGAAAUAUGAACCUUUAUGUAUUUGAAAUAAUCGCUUUCCGAACUUUGCACAAAAAGGUUUUCACUUUAAAGAAUUUCGUAAUUUUUGAAUGCCAUAUAUUUCACAUAAAGGCUCGGAUUGUUUUGAUAUUUUCGUAUGAGUUUGCAUGGCCUAUAAUGAGUAUGUUUUCCAUAAGUGGGCCCGACUCGGGAAAAUACCCGUCCGUGGGUCCCGCGACUUUCCUUUAUGUAAUUCGGACGACUUUUGAAAGAAUUUGGUAUGAUUAUCAUUUCAAAUUUCAAGUAUGGUCAUUUACUUAUAUUUGAGUCUAUGAUAAUGAUUUUAUGCAUAUGGUUACUCAUGACUCUGCUCGUGCGUUUUGUUAUAUCUUUCGCCGGUUCCCGGGCCGGUUCUGUUAUCGUGCGCAUUUUGAUAUACUCCGGAGUUAUGCUGUGUUAUGGUUCUCCGAGCUACUCGCUAAUGAGGGUCGGGUUCCACAUAUAUUUGGUGUUAUGCUGUGUAUGGCGGUAUGUUGUGAUGUGAUAUGUGACGGGGAUACGGAGAUUUGAAACUUUCUGGUGUUAUGCUGUGUUAUGGCGCCAUCGACGGGUGGGCGACCAUAUUCUUCUGUACCCUAUGCAUUACUUACAUAUUUUUGAAAGUAAGCAAAUUUUGAUAUGUUGGAUUUGCACUUAUGUUUGGUACUUCCAUUUCGCUUAUGUCUCAGAUUUGCUUUCUGUAUAUUCUGCUUUGCAUACUCAGUACAUAUUUCGUACUGACCCCCUUUCUUCGGGGGGCUGCGUUUCAUGCCCGCAGGUACAGACGCACAGUUUGGUGAUCUACCCAUUUAGGACAUCCUCUUCUGCUGUUUGGAGUGCUCUUCUCAUUUCAGAGCACACAUUUUGGUAUACAUUUGUUCGCUAUGUAUAUAUGUAUUUGUUCAGGGGCACGGCGGGGCCCUGUCCCGCCAUAUGAUUCUGUCGGUCUGUUUAGAGGUCUGUGGACGUGUUUGUGGGUUAGGGUCUUUCUGUAUGGAUGUAUGUACAUGUCGUUUGGGCGAUCCCAUACGCCGAGGCGGCCGGUCCGCAUAUGUUGUUUGGGCGAUCCUAUACGCCGAGGCGGCCGGUCCGCAUAUGUUUAUGUAUUGCUUGGUUAGCCCUGUGUGGCUUUUGUUGGUAUUUUCUGCGUGCAGGGUAUAUUGGAUAGUCCGUAAAACAAAGGAAACUCUGCCGAAAUUUUUCUGGAAAUUACCUAAAUCUGAAAUAAAGCCUUGUCGGCUUCCGCCAUAUACUAGAAUGAGUUGAUAGAAUUUGAGAUAAUAUUUGAUAGAUGGGUUCGGGUGCCCAGAUCGGGCACUAGUCACGGCCUACGGGGUUGGGUCGUG